AUUGAACGCUGGCGGCAGGCCUAACACAUGCAAGUCGAGCGGAUGAAGGGAGCUUGCUCCUGGAUUCAGCGGCGGACGGGUGAGUAAUGCCUAGGAAUCUGCCUGGUAGUGGGGGAUAACGUCCGGAAACGGGCGCUAAUACCGCAUACGUCCUGAGGGAGAAAGUGGGGGACCUUCGGACCUCACGCUAUCAGAUGAGCCUAGGUCGGAUUAGCUAGUUGGUGGGGUAAAGGCCUACCAAGGCGACGAUCCGUAACUGGUCUGAGAGGAUGAUCAGUCACACUGGAACUGAGACACGGUCCAGACUCCUACGGGAGGCAGCAGUGGGGAAUAUUGGACGAUGGGCGAAAGCCUGAUCCAGCCAUGCCGCGUGUGUGAAGAAGGUCUUCGGAUUGUAAAGCACUUUAAGUUGGGAGGAAGGGCAGUAAGUUAAUACCUUGCUGUUUUGACGUUACCAACAGAAUAAGCACCGGCUAACUUCGUG
rnacentral:rRNA from 1 species